GAAUCUGUGAAUGGAGAAAUAAAGAGCUUAAGGCAGCACAAAUAAAACAAAAGUUACUGUGUGGUAAGUCGGACAGUGGAGAACAGCAGGCGAACAUAAUAGAAAAAUGGGGGUUCCCCCCCUCUUUGCCCAGGUGCAGUUACAACUCCUACACACUUGAGAGCUGUGCAACUGAUCGUGAGGAUUAAUGCGCCACCGACGCCGCUACCCACCUGCUUGAUGUUGCGCAUGGCGACGGCGGCGAUGCUGUCCAGCACCUCCGGCUGCAGUUCCUGCGCUGACCUCCUGCGGAUGUCCGGCCCGGCGAGCGGCCCGUAGACGGUGAAGACGCGCAGUGCGGACUGCGGGUGCGCCAUCGGGUCGGCCCAGAUGCCCAUCAUGAUCUCGGUGUCUUCUCCCCGGGACUCCUCAUCCAGCUCCUGCAGAACCUGCGUCUCGUCGGCCCCAUGGCUCUUUUGGCCGUCGUCGCACCAGCUGUGCGGGGGGAGCAGCUUCUGAAAGCGCUCGCGCGCCGCCAUAUUGAAGGAGGUGCUGUUGUAGGACAGGCCCCGCAGGUGGCGCAGCACCGUGCACACCUUCGCUAUAUUCAUCACCGGCAGCAGCUGCACUCAGCCGGUAUCGUUCAAGCACAGCCGAAAUAACAUGAACAUUUUACACGUCAUUGUGAAUUUUGUUCAUGUGUAGUAAGAGUAGCAUGUCAAUGACACAUUAUUUUCAAAUGUAUUUGUGCUUUUUUAAAAAUAGAAAACGUACUGGUAAUAUUGAUAAGUUACAAUGUUUUUUUUUCAAGAUGUGAUAAAAGUGCUAUGCGCAGAUGAAUGGCACUUGUAGUGAGAAACCCUAACUUAACAACCCAGGCAGCCACCCGUCAUUAAAUUAGGUUCUGGAGUGUAGUUUAGUUGCUAGUCUCAGGUUAGUCACCAAUGACUGCAUAAAAAAACAUGACAUACAAUUUUGUUCUGUACUUAAUAGCAGCUCUAAGAAUUAAAAACAUCUGUUUAACUGUCAUGCGAUGAAUAUUACUCUUCGUUGCAGAGUGGUAGGAGAGUGUGCAGACCAAAGGUCACUUGAAGGGAUCUCAGAAGUAGUUCUGUGAUAUCAGCUUCUAUGGGCUAUUCACUACCACAAUGGACUGACUGCACUGCUCUGUGAGAGAUUUAAAUGGAAUAAGUUUCAUGACAUGAUCUCGAUAGCAAAAUUGGACUAGAAUUGGUAAAAGACAUUGUGUUUGUUAACGAAACGACACAUGGAUCAUGAUCAUGUAUAAUGACAAUAGAAAAAACGUAGAGAAGUGUACAAAAAAGCAUGGAGAAAGCAAUUGGACAAAUUUGUUUUAGAAAUAAACAAUACAUUUUAAUCAACGAAUCAUAA